UUUUCUGCAAUUUCCAGUGAAUUUGGUCGCAAUCGGCGAAGACCGAGGUAAGAGGUAUGAUCUACUCUUCAAGUUCUAUAUGGUUAUGUGUUCAUUUAUGAGUUUUGGUUAAGUGUUGGAGGAAUUGGUAUUUUGGGUCCAUCGACCACCAGUGAGGGAGAGAUGAGUAAAAGCUUGAAAAUGCUAUUCUCACUCAAAAGGCAUAAGCUUGGAAGAAGUUGCAAGCCCACCAAGUAUGUGCUGUAAUGUUGAAGAGAGCAAUGAAAGCCUCAAGAAUGUUGAAGCAAUAGAGCUUUCUCCAAGACCCACAUGGAAAUGCUUCUCCUUUAAAGAAAUUUCAUAUGCCACCAACGGUUUCAGCUUAGAGGCCAUUGUUCCAGAUUCAUCAUUACUGGCUUGGAGGGGUGUACCAGCGGCAGUGGGAGGAGAACAGAGCAGGCUUGGAAUCUUCCAUUUCUCUUCCAAAAUGGGUUUGUCAAGUUUAAGAAGAUGAACAAUGUUCAUUGAACAUGAAUGGGAGAAAUGUAUGAACAUGGGGCUAGGGUUGAAAGCCCUAGCCAAACUUGUAUGAAUUGAUGUUUUAAUUUACAUUUGAUGUUAUUUGUGAUUUUUCA